rnacentral:lncRNA from 1 species
AGUUCAUUGUAGCAAUUUGAUGGAGACAAAAGAAAUACUUAAUAUAUAAAUACAUCAUGAUGGCUAUCCUAUGAAGCAUGUUUCUGGAUAUGCUUGAAUUCUGAUCAUUGUGGGUAAUGCAGUCUGAUAGGAAUACUUCCACUCAGGGACAUAUUGACAAAAUGCUUAACAACCAUCUUUUGAAAAAGUGCUCAUUACAGUUUAGUCAUUAUGGAUCUCAACAGAGAAAAGAAGAAUCAUAAACUACCUCUCCAGCUGCCCUGGACAACGCCCCAUGUUUUGAUCUUUCAAGUUUCAAAUUCCUGCUAUGUAUGGAACGUUGCUUACAGUUUUGGACACAAUUUAGGAAGGACAUUGAUAAAUUGA